UCUUCUUCUCACUCUCACUCUCACUCUCACUCUCAUAGCAGCAGCGAUUAAUCAAUAAUCAUUCAUGAUCUUACACCAGUAACACCACCACCACAAGUAAUUCAAUAUUGGGUGCUUAUCAAGUACCAGAGGAGUUUGAUGAUCCAAUGAUGCUUGAUUAAUGAUUGUUGAACUUCAGAUCUUGUUGCAGACUUGAGAUGGAAAGGAACUAUGGAAGUGCUGGUUUUAACACCUUUGUGUUAAACCUCUAACAAUAUUUUCCUUAGGCAGUGACUAAAUACAACCCUGGUUUUGAAUAAAUACAACCCAAGUGAAAAACAAAAUAUUUAUUAACCUUAGUUGUGUGGGUGAUAAAACCCACCGUCAGACUUGUGUUUAUUAAUGGCGGACUUUCUUCA